rnacentral:misc_RNA from 1 species
AAGUCGUAACAAGGUUUCCGUAGGUGAACCUGCGGAAGGAUCAUUGAUGUGGAGUAGAGGGGGAUGUUGGAAUGAGAUGGGAGAUAUGAGUGACAAAAAGAUUUUAUUCAAAAUGACUAGCCACCUGGGAUCUCUGGGCUCUU